rnacentral:lncRNA from 1 species
UUUUUAAAACAGCAAAUUCAAUCUCCCCAUGCUGUGCAUCUUUACAGAAGCCAUUUUAGCAUAAGUUAUGACGUUUAGCCAAGAGCAGAUGUGAAAAUACUCCUGCUGACAUCUACCACCUUCUACAAACAACAGAACACGGAUUCUGAUCCUGUUCCUUUGAAGUAGAUGAAAAUUGUUCCAGUGUUCACUAAAAUUAGGCCAAUUCACAGGGAAAGGGAAAGAAAAAGCAAGAGUAUUACAUUAUCCUCUGUCUUUCAGGUUCCCAGGCAGAUUCUACAUUUCCUGAAUGGCCUGGUAUUUUCCUGCACACAGGCAGUCACUCAGUGGCUGUCACCAGGAGUAAAUAUGUGCUUGCAUAAGGAGAUGAGCACAGGGAGGAAUAGAUGCAUCACAUAAGCAACUCUCCUCCUGGUACCUGGGGCCUCUUUCCAGAACACUUCACACACCAGAGAUCCAUGGAUAUUUGAUUCUGUAUUUUGGUGCCUGCUAAGAAAUGGCUAUACAUUAUUUUCACGUGUGUCACAACAGGAUGGAGAGAUCUUCAAGUCUCAUGGCUGUCUCAGCACAUUUAUAACAUGGGAUUUUUAUAGGUAAGAGCAAUAUG